CCGAGUUUACAACUCCCAAACCCCCUGUGAACUUAUACCAUUUACUGUUGCUUCGGCGGGUUAUUGCCCCGGGGAAGGAUAGGAUGCCGCGAGGUGUCCUGCCCGCCCCCCGGACACAGGCGCCCGCCGGGGGACUCAAACUCUGUAUUUUUUUCUUGUUUUAGUGUAUACUGUCUGAGUAAAAAACAAAUAAUGAAUCA
rnacentral:misc_RNA from 1 species